rnacentral:tRNA from 1 species
CCAGGCGUAGAGCUGGUCAGCGACCUUCCCGAUCGCCGGGUCGUCGAGGUCAUCGGUCGAGCCGAUCGCCUCGU